CGUUCGCGCUUCCGCCGGCGACCGGCGCACGGGUGAGUAACACGUAUGGAACCUGCCCGCAGCAGGGGGAUAAUCGGGGGAAGCCCCGUCUAAUACCGCGUAACGACCCGGAGGGGCAUCCCUUCGGGUCCAAAGGUUUACCGGCUGCGGAUGGCCAUGCGUCGCAUUAGCUUGUUGGCGGGGUAACGGCCCACCAAGGCGACGAUGCGUAGGGGUUCUGAGAGGAAGGUCCCCCACACUGGUACUGAGACACGGACCAGACUCCUACGGGAGGCAGCAG
rnacentral:rRNA from 1 species